rnacentral:sRNA from 1 species
UUAUCUUCUCUUGUUUCUUCAUAUACGUCUUCUGUAUCCUCUGCGUGCAUAAAAUCUA